rnacentral:rRNA from 1 species
UACGUAGGUGGCAAGCGUUGUCCGGAUUUACUGGGCGUAAAGAGCGCGCAGGCGGUCGGAUAAGUCGAAUGUGAAAGCCCCCCGGCUCAACUGGGGAGGGUCAUUCGAUACUGUUCGACUGGAAGGCAGGAGAGGGAAGCGGAAUUCCCGGUGUAGUGGUGAAAUGCGUAGAUAUCGGGAGGAACACCAGUGGCGAAGGCGGCUCUCUGGACCAGCACUGACACUGAGGCACGAAAGCGUGGGGAGCGAACAGG